rnacentral:rRNA from 1 species
CAGUCACGUCGGCCAGGGAUCAACCUUGCUUCUUGCUGGGCGCAUUUCCUGGUCGACGGGUCAGCAUCGAUUUCGGUCGUCGUAGAAGGAUGGAAGCGAACGUGGCACUCCUCGGAGUGUGUUAUAGCCUUCCAUACGCAUGCGAUGCCUGGGAUCGAGGACCGCAGCGCGCCUUCUUGGCAUUGGCUUCGGCCUUUUCCGCGCUAAGGAUUCUGGCUUAAUGGCUUUAAGCGACCCGUCUUGAAACACGGACCAAGGAGUCUAACAUAUAUGCGAGU